GAAGGGGGCUAGCGUUGUUCGGAUUUACUGGGCGUAAAGCGCACGUAGGCGGAUCGUUAAGUCGGGGGUGAAAUCCUGGAGCUCAACUCCAGAACUGCCUUCGAUACUGGCGAUCUUGAGUCCGGAAGAGGUGAGUGGAACUCCUAGUGUAGAGGUGGAAUUCGUAGAUAUUAGGAAGAACACCAGUGGCGAAGGCGGCUCACUGGUCCGGUACUGACGCUGAGGUGCGAAAGCGUGGGAGCAAACAGGAUUAGAUACCCUGGUAGUCCACGCCGUAAACUAUGAGAGCUAGCCGUUGGGGAGUUUACUCCUCAGUGGCGCAGCUAACGCAUUAAGCUCUCCGCCUGGGGAGUACGGUCGCAAGAUUA
rnacentral:rRNA from 1 species